rnacentral:rRNA from 1 species
CUUCUGUAGGUGAACCUGCGGAAGGAUCAUUA